CAGAAGUAGAAAAGUUCUGGGUUUUUUUUUAGUUUGGUUCCUAGAGGCUGGCCAUAUGACCUUAGCAGAACUUUUUUGGCAAAAGUGUUAUGCCCUUGUUUUUAUAAAAUAUAUCUAUUACAAUUUCCAUUAGUGGAGGAUAAAUCAGUUUCUUGUUGGGCUAACAGAUAUGAAGAAAUGACCCCAAAACUGAAGUCACACUAAGAGCACCGAAUAGUUGCUAGGUCUGGCACAUGCUGAUAGGGAAAAUAUAUUUGUAAGAGUGGAUGGAAGUGAUCAUCAAUAGAAUAACCUCUUCCCUGUUUACUUUAUUAUAUAUCAAUCUUUGUAUAUAUUAUAUAUUCAUUAUGUGAUUAUUAUAUGGAUGUGUUGAUGAAAUGGUGCUGUUCAGUAUAAUUUGAAUACACUAUAAUAAUACAAUCAUGUGACCAAAAGUCCUCAUGGCAAAAUAAUAUUUUUUUGGGGGGGGUCCAAUAUUCUCUUAGAAAUUUAGCUUUAUUUAAUGUUUAUAAGACAAAGUGAUCAUUGUACUCUUUUAGUUAGCCAUGUAUUUGUAGCAGUUUCUAGACUUAUUUUUUUUUUAAACAGGAUAUGACUUUUGACCCUGAUCCAUUGUGAUAAUUGUAUAGAUGGAGGGAGACCUGGCCUAUAUAUUUCAUAUACAUUCACAAUGUCAAGGCUGCUCUUGGCUUUUUGAACAUGUUUCUGUUGGUUUUUCUGUACUAAGUUCAUAGUUUUUGUACUAUGUUCCAAUUGAAAUCAAUUCCUCUUAGUGUUUCACACAGAUGAUGUAAUUGGCAUAGGCAACAUAGUUUAGGGUUGGAUAAACAACACACUGACCUGAGGUUUUACUGGCAUAGUAUUUCUAUUUAAGAGUCACUCAUUAAGAAGGUAUGAAAUCCAUCCAAUGGACCUCAUUCACCAAUCGUAAACAAACAACAUUUAGCCACGUGGUGCUUUAUCUCUUCUAUAUAAUUUACGAUCUCAUGUUUAAUUCAUGAUGGUUGUCACGUGAAAGUUUUUUUUCAUUGUUUUAUCUAUAAGAUCACGUGACUAAAUGUUGUUUGUUUACGAUUGGUGAAUGAGGUCCAUUGAGUCGUGCUUGGGCCAUAAUAAAAACAUAAGUUAAUGUUACCAACUAAGCUGUUGUUGGAGCGAGCUUUCAUUUAUCCCACUUUAAAAUGUUUGUCCUAAGUCAGAAUGUUUUUAUGGUUUGGUAUUUUUGGCUAUCACCUGAAUGAUAUCUAGAAGAGAUGGAUUUCAAACUGCUUUUGUUAUCGUUAUAAUAAAAGUUGUUUCAUAUGUUACUGAAUUGAAAGGCUACAAAAUCCAAGAAAUGAUGGAAUUUUUUUUUUCCCCCUUACCUUUCUCUUGAAUGAAGUUUGAGUCAGGUGAGUUUAGCAUUCAACUCAGCUACACUGACAGUCCCCCACUAGGAAACUAAAUACUCAAUCUGCCUGACAUCUGGAUAACUCUUGGUUCAGUGUGGUCUUUGCUUGGGGCUCAGCAUUUAGAACACAGCUCUUCCCUAUGUAAAUACCAAAGUUCAUUCUAAGGUUACAUUACUUGUGUGUAGCUCUCUAAGGCUACAUUACUUGCGUGUAGCUUUCUAAGGUUAUAUUACUUGUGUGUAGCUUUCUAAGGUUAUAUUACUUGUGUGUAGCUUUCUAAGGUUAUAUUACUUGUGUGUAGCUUUCUAAGGCUACAUUACUUGUGUGUAGCUCUCUAAGGCUACACUACUUGCGUGUAGCUCUCUAAGCCUAUGUCAAUAAAAUAGAGACCAAAAAAAAAAAGUUGGAGGAACUUUUUUUUUCUUUUUUAAGAUUAUGUUAUCGAUAGACAAGACUGUCAACCUAUUUAUCUGUUUACAUAUCAUGGAAUUUAUUAAAUAAAUUUAACUUCAAGAA